UUUUAUAUAGUUUAAUUAAAACAAUUUAUUUUCAAUAAAUAGAUAAGUAAAUCUUUAUAAAAU
rnacentral:tRNA from 1 species